GCGCAGCGGGAGCUCGGCGGCCGCGGCAGCUCCCCCCGGCCGGGGCCGAGCAGAAGGGAAGGGGUUUGCCACCCAUCAGCAGCAGGGACGGAGGGGAAUUUCAUCUCCAGCUAUCUUAUCAUCUGGGCAACAAGGGCAGGCAGAGAUUCUGGCUUCACAGCUCGGGGAUUACGACUGAUUCAGUGGGGCAAAGGACUGGGGUCUAAGAAGGUAACCAGCCCAUUUCAGAUGGUCACAGAAGGACUAUUAUAUUGGGGAAAGAAAAAAGGAUAAAUGUUUAAAGCUACCUGAACACCUGACUCCCUGAGCGAUGAGCCCCCACAUAAAGUUGGCACAGUAUUCACACCAGUGUGGACCUCGGAAUGUGUGGACCUGUAAUACAAAUGGAAAAAGGGGGUCACGAGGAGGCAGAUGGCCUGACAGAUGGAACAAAUAAAAGAGAUAAACAACAAA